GGAGGGUGCGAGCGUUAUCCGGAAUUACUGGGUUUAAAGGGUGCGUAGGCGGCCAUGUAAGUCAGGAGUGAAAGUUUGCGGCUCAACCGUAAAAUUGCUUUUGAUACUGCAUGGCUGGAAUCAGGAUGAGGUCAGCGGAAUGUGGCAUGUAGCGGUGAAAUGCAUAGAUAUGCCAUAGAACACCAAUUGCGAAGGCAGCUGGCUAGACCUGUAUUGACGCUGAGGCACGAAAGCGUGGGGAGCGAACAGGAUUAGAUACCCUGGUAGUCCACGCCCUAAACGAUGCUUACUCGACGUAUGAAGCUUGUCUUUGUGCGUCCAAGGGAAACCGUUAAGUAAGCCACCUGGGGAGUACGACCGCAAGG
rnacentral:rRNA from 1 species